AGAAUCAACGCUGGCGGCGUGCCUAACACAUGCAAGUCGAACGAGAAAGUGGAGCAAUCCAUGAGUAAAGUGGCGACCGGGUGAGUAACACGUGACUAACCUACCCUAGAGUGGGGAAUAACUUCGGGAAACCGAGGCUAAUACCGCAUAACAUCGCAGAGGGAAGCUCUUUGCGAUCAAAGGAGCAAUUCGCUCAAGGAGGGGGUCGCGGCUGAUUAGUUAGUUGGUGAGGUAACGGCUCACCAAGACAAAGAUCAGUAUCCGGCCUGAGAGGGCGCACGGACACACUGGAACUGAAACACGGUCCAGACUCCUACGGGAGGCAGCAGUGGGGAAUUUUGCGCAAUGGGGGAAACCCUGACGCAGCAACGCCGCGUGGAGGAUGAAGUCCCUUGGGAUGUAAACUCCUUUCGAUCGGGACGAUUAUGACGGUACCGGAAGAAGAAGCACCGGCUAACUCUGCGCCAGCAGCCGCGGUAA
rnacentral:rRNA from 1 species